UUGCCCUUGAAAACCCUGCCUUAGAGCUUGACGUCAUGGGAUUUUUAUUUACCCUACUUAUGAAAGUUGACCUUUAGCUUAGAUUUCAGGGUCAAGAGAAAUCACGGCCAUACGUGGAACGUAGAGUUGGUCGAGUUGGAAAGUUGAUGUUGAAAACCCAGGGUCAAUGUGGGGAGGCCUCCCCUAGCGCCUUUCUCCACUGACAGAGAAAACAUAAGAAAACAGCAGCUUUAUUGGAACAGACAUUGUGGGUUGGUGACAACCCAGGGAGGCCAGGGGCAAUUUCCACAUUCAGCCCAGCUGAUUCAGAGGAUUUGAGACCUGGAUUCUCAUUGCUAGGACUGGACUUCUGUCUAUAGUGAGAUGUCUUUCCUCUGCAUUGACAGAGCGAGCCGUUCAGCAGCUGUUGGGGUGCCAGCGUGACGCCGAGAGCUUCCUGUGGGCAGAACACGCCUUGGUGGGAGAGAUCGCGGAUGGCCUGGCCCGGGCCUGUGCUGCCUUAGGAGACUGGCAAAAGGCAGCCACCCACCUACAGAGGAGUCUCCGCGUGGU
rnacentral:sRNA from 1 species